rfam:Gossypium raimondii Chr02_contig_1462, whole genome shotgun sequence.
UGUUAAAAUUUUUAUCCAUUUCUACUAAUAAGAACCGGUGUGGUUAACGAAAUAACUAAAUAGUUACAAGGGAUGUGUCUAAUGUAUAUCAUGAUAAUAUACAGAGGUCAAUUUUCAACGAUAGGAAUGAAUAAAAUUUUUAAUA